AGAAACUGGUCAUCUUCCAUCCGCACACUUGUGGGCAUGCCUGAAACCAUUAUGGCACUCCAAUUAGGAAGCUGUAAAACAGAGAAACGAGAUGGUAAAAUAUGUUCUUGGAUAAUAUUUUUCCACGUUCAUAAUCCAAACUAACUAGCACAACAUCAUUCUCAAGUUAGUCAUUCAAAAGCAAUAAGAUAGCACAUUAUUACACGGUUCCAUUCCCAUAACAUGUAUUAUAUUCCCAGAGGCGGGCAACUUACCUCUCGUGGGUGGGAUAAUACUCGCCUCCGUGUCCUUUAUAAAAUCAUGACUUUACGUCAUGAAAUUAGUAAAAUCUGGUAAUUUUAUUAAAGGACACGGAGGCUCCUAUUAUGCUAGUUCAAAGCUGUGUGAUCACCGACGUGGA